UCUCCUCCCCGCUCGCUCCUAUCCUCCUCCAUGCCGCCGCCCCCUUCCCCCCGCUCGCCUCUGCCGCCUCCUCUCCUUCCCCGCACCUCCGGCCUCCCCCCUCCUCCCUCCUCCUCCAUCCUCUCUCAUUUGUCAUCACAGUAGACCAUCUCCCGUCACUUAGGCCCCAUGCCGGCGGCCGGGUCGGGAUGGAGGCGUGGCAGGGGUUGGUGGAUCGGCGGAUGUGGGCGGGCUCUCAUCGCUGCUCCAUGACGGCGGCCAGUUCAAUGGGUAGGGGUAGAAAGCCAUGGUGAACUUGGGAGAGGAGGAAGGCGACGGUCCAGCCCGCGGCAUCGGGCAGAGAGAGAUGGGGGCGGCGGCGCUGGGAAAAGAGAGAUGGUGGCGAAGGUGGCGGUGGCGCUGAGUAGAGAGAGCAUGGCGUCGGCGGCAACAACAACUGGUCUCUCCUCUUCGUAUCAUCAAUGAGGGUGUGGGCUACAGGAGCGCGAGGAUUUGAAACCUCUUCCUCCAUAAUCUUGCCGAGGUGCUCCUGAACUCGACAAGGAGAGCAACCUGCAUGAGGUUUGCACAUUCCCUCGCCUCCCUCCAUUGUUGAUCUCCAUCUUAUCUCUUUCUGCACGGGGGGCUCGUCUUUACGUGGUUCUCAACCGCCGAUUGAGAUUUGGAGGGAGACUAGGAGACCCAGGCGAAAACGAGUGUGCUAGCGGAGGCUCUGGGGAUGCAGGGUGAUAGGGCCCAGUCUAUGCUCCGGUUGUGUUGUUGGGAUUUUCAAGAUGGGCCUUCCUAUCCAUAAGUUUGUCUUUAUACUGCAUAUUAAUUCACUCUUUUGGGGAAGCUUCAGAUGGGAUUUAGAGAAGGAAAAGGAGACCCGUGCGAAAUCGAGCGUCCUGGUGUUGGGACUCAUGAUCCGCACUUGUUGUCUAAAUGCAGUACAUGCGCAUUGUAGUGAUAAUGUUGUUAACUGUCCCUGUAUAUUCCUUAGUUAGGUGUCUAAUAAACCAAGAAUUUGACACUUGUCAGUAAGUUCAGUAUAUCAUCGUCUACUUAGACAAAAUACAUCAUGGUCAAACAAUACAAAUAUUUCACAGGUAGAAAAAACAUACAAAUAUUAAUUUUCAGUAAAAUCAUGAAAUGUUCAGAUAUAUCAAUGCUUUCACCUCACUUGUCAUGCUAUUAUGAACUAUAUUUGUAGUUUAAUUGCUAUAUCAGAAUCAAAGUAACCCAUUCGGCGCUUGACUGUAUCUUAGCAUGCUUAUUGUGUACAUUCCUUAUGUCAUUUUUACAGAUAAAUUCAUUUGUGUCAAGUAUCGCUUUUUGCUGUAUGGACAUGACAAGUUGUCAUACAUUGGCCUGUUAAAUUUAUUGGGUGCCAAGUUCACUUGCCAUAUUCUCAAUUUUGUUUCUUCUGAUUUUGGUGUUGGUGUGUGUAUUGUUAGUGAAAAUAUGCUCAUAGUUUUUUUAAAUAUGUGUACGCCAUUAACUGAUGUCAUUGUGUUUUCAAGGGGUAUAUGAACCAGAAAUGAUGUGGUAUACUUGGUUAUUUGAACAUGAAGGUCAACCGCGGGGUGGCGCGACAUGGCGUGGCCUUAGCCAAUUAGUAAGCCAAGGUGGAGGUUGGGAAACAAAGAACUUGCCCAACUGUGGAAAUGGGCAGAACUAAACCAUGUAAACUUGAAGAUGGACACAUCUGCCGGAGUGACGGCGGCCAUGGGAGCCGGAAGAUCACAAGAGAUCGACCUUUUGGGUGGUCUAAUACUUCCUAUAUGGGCACAUAGAAAAGCCACUACGUGUCUAUUAUGAGCACUGCAAUUUAGACAUGAAAAGAAUGGUACUGGAGUUUGCCUAUCUAUCAUGAUUUUUAAGUUCUGCUUAGUUGAUAGCCUCACGUAAUGUGCCUCCAUGGAUGGAGCUUUCCGGGUCUGCCUUGUUGAAUGUUCUACCAUGGAUGGAGCUUUUGCUGAUACCCUUUCUGAAUAGCUGAUAUUUAUUGUACCUCACCUUCGCUCCUGGUUGGCGGGGAACCCCUCCUGGUUGAGCCCCUAGCCCCCACCUUGGUAGCUGCCUGGAGAGGAGGAUAGCUCGAGGACAACUCCCAAUGUGCCGAGGAGAUGGGAACAUGAUAAGCCGACACCUAAUAAGGAUCAGGAGAACAACAGAUAUGCUAAGAGACAACCUUUUGGGGUUAAGGAUAUAAACAACAACAUGGCUUAUGAGGCCGAAGAGAGCUCGAGUGGCGUCUUUUGGUUCUUGAAGACCUGCACGUUCCUGGUGGAGUAGAGCAAAAUAAUUUGGAGGCUUUAAAGCUACUGCACUUCAUGUAGUUAGGAUCAAUUCUUUGUUUUAGUUUGAAAUAUUCCCCAUUUCCUCCUAUUUGAUUGAUUCAUCUGAUGGACAUUUUGUCAGGCAAAUAAACAAAAGGCAUAUGUAUUGUUACGAGUGAAGCCAUCCAUACUCCCAUGUGGAAUUCAAGAAAUAAAGAAAUGUUAUUGUUCUUCUACUAA